rnacentral:piRNA from 1 species
UGGGGACAUUUUAAAUGCAUUUGGUGGGU